rnacentral:misc_RNA from 1 species
AUUGCGCCCCGAGCUGAGUGGAGCUCUUUUUAUAUGAACGAAGUGAAAUGUAAAAAAGCGGGAACGGAGCGCGGAAAUGUGC